UACGUAGGGACCAAGCGUUGUCCGGAAUCAUUGGGCGUAAAGCGCGCGUAGGUGGCUUCGUAAGUCCGUUGUGAAAGUCAAAGGCUCAACCUUUGAAAGCCGAUGGAUACUGCGGAGCUAGAGUACGGAAGAGGCGAGUGGAAUUCCUGGUGUAGCGGUGGAAUGCGCAGAUAUCAGGAGGAACACCAAUAGCGAAGGCAGCUCGCUGGGACGUUACUGACACUAAGGCGGGAAAGCGUGGGGAGCGAACAGG
rnacentral:rRNA from 1 species